CCUACGGGGGGCAGCAGUGGGGAAUCUUGCGCAAUGCUCGUAAGAGUGACGCAGCGACGCCGCGUGAAUGACGAAGGCCUUCGGGUCGUAAAGUUCUUUCGACAGGGAAGAAAAUGCCUAUAAGUAACUGUGUAUGUAUUGACGGUACCUGGAUAAGCAGCCCAGGCUAACUCCGUGCCAGCAGCCGCGGUAAUACGGAGGGGGCGAGCGUUGUUCGGAGGGACUGGGCGUAAAGAGCACGUAUGCGGUGUUGUAAGUCAUUAGUCAAAGACUAGAGCUCAACUUUAGUAAGGCUAGUGAUACUAUAAUACUAGAGUAUCAGAGAGGAUUGCAGAAUUCCUGGUGUAGCGGUGAAAUGCGUAGAUAUCAGGAGGAAUACCGUUAGCGAAGGCGGCAAUCUGGCUGGAAACUGACGCUGAGGUGCGAAAGCGUGGGUAGCAAACAGGAUUAGAUACCCGGGUAGUC
rnacentral:rRNA from 1 species